CAUAAAUAUUCAAAAUAAAUAUUUUACUUGUUUGGAGGAAGAAACAAAAGCAAGCAUUUCAGAGUAAGUAGGAAGGGCUACAAAGCCAUUGUCAUCAAAAUUAAAUUCUAACGUAAAAAUAGUAACUAAAUUUGUCUCAAAAAUAAAACAGGAAGGAUAAAAUCUCAUAAACAAAAAAACAGUACUAAUAACGUCCAAUGCCCCGGACUCUAACAACACCAUCGGUAUAUCCACUAAACAAAGUGCUUCCAUCAGCACUCCAGUUCAAACUAGUGCAGUAAAUGUCCUGCAAAGAAAACGCCAGAAGUAGAGCAAAUAUAUAACUGAAUUGGAAAAACAACAAACCGAAUGCAGAUGCUUGUGUAAAACAAGCCAGAAAUAAAUAGAUUAAAUUUGAGACAUUGUUGAUUAAUACAUACAACAACUAAACAAAGAUUAUUUCAUCAAAUUGCAGCAAGAGAUAAACAACAUAAAUAAAACUCAGGUUAACAAAACCAGUAAAAGAUAAAUGCAAAACCAGUCAUCAAAUAGCUGCAAAAGAUAACACACAUAACCAGUAAAUGAACUUAAAUCAUCAGCAUUAAACCGACACAACAAAACUUCUAGCAUAUCAUAUAAGCUUGAAAAAUAUGGAAAAAAUAAUGGCAGGCAGGAAACAACCAACACUAAAUAAAAAUCAUCUAAACAACUUAAUCAUCUGCGCCAGAUGACUAGCGUUCAGGGAAUUACGAAUAAAACCAAUUAAGAAACAAUCAACUUCAAUUCAAUACCAGGCAAAUAACCAAACAUUCAAACCAUUUCAAGAGUCAUAAACAGAAAGCCCAUAGUCAAAGUAAACAAAAUAAGAAAAAUUCCCUGACAUAUGAUGCAUUUCGCGUGACACAAAAGUUAAAACCAUUUUGUCCAUGGAAGAAAGACAUAUUCAACAUAAAGUAGUCACAAAUUUAAAGAACGACACGACUCCAAAAGAAUAUUCGUUAACAUUAAACAAAUAAGUACGCCCUGCACAGUUAGGAUAAAUCUCUUUACAGAACAAUUCACAUAGUAUCAUCCAUUUAUCAGAUGUUGAAUAAGCUCAGAAAAUCAGGUAAAUAAAAAAAAUUCAAAAAGCAAGAACUAACAAAAUUUAAAUCAACUAGUGUGAUUAAUAACUGUAAUAUAAAAUUUAAAAAAUAUACCUCUUCUUUGGUAGUGUUACCACCGGUGACGGUGUAGCCAUCAGCUCAUGACUUUAAGUCAACUUCAAAUCCUCAACAUGCCUUGCUCUCAAAUGCCGCAGAUCUUUAAUGCUGACUUCGAGUGCAGCACAUAGCCUGAUACCUGUUAGUACUAAAAGCACAAGGCAUGGAUAAUAGAACCCCAUCUUAAGAGAGUAAAGUUCUUCUCCUAGCCAAAAAUCCCACAAAAGAAUAACACCAUCUUUGCAACCACUGGCACAGAGGGAACCAUCAGAGGGAACAUCAAGCAAUCAGGUGUUGAUCAUAUCCAGAGUGUCCAGCUAAGAGUGUUCUCACGCUACCAGAUCUUGCAGUUUGUCAGAUUUCCAAACCUUCAACAGUUUUAUCGCUCAUGAGCAGAGACAAUAGUACGGCUUGUUAGAGUGCUUAGGGCCUCGAACGCACUACAGCCUAACCAAUCAGAAUUGAGCUAUCACCGUCGGCCAUAGCCUGUACUUGCGCACCUCACCGAGAGUGUUCAACAGCUUAAUCGGUGCACGAUAAAACUAGUUUAAGGUAUGCCCAUUAGGUUCUAUAAGCGCUGUCCCGGUUGUUCCAAUAGACAUCUAGUAUGAUCCUGUCGAGAUCUUCCUUGGACCACCCUUCUCAUUACUUGUGUCAACGCAUCUCUAUCCGAUUUAGAAUAAGUUCAGUACAGAUAUAAAGUAUCCCUAUACUAUCUAACAGCAAACAGAUUAACAUUACAUAAUUCUCUAAGUUUCUCAUCUAUUUUCUCUAUCAACUAAUACAAGCUCUUAGUUUCUAUUUCAAAAAUGAAGAAGCAUUUGGUACCUGCUCUGUAAUUGUUUUUGAGAAGCGCACCCCUCCUCCAAAUACACCCACAUGGCCUUCAGGGACUGUGAACAAUGACAAGGAAUUUUAUAAGGAUGAUGAUUGCUGUGGGAACCAAAACCUAUAGAUAACAUAAGACAUGUCUUAAGCUUUAAGUUGUCAAUAAACACUAACACAAACCGAUGUACAACUGAAAGUAACCAGUGUGUCAAUGUCCGCCGACACAUGUCAGAUACAAUAGAAAUAUUCAAUCAGAAAUGUCGGGCUACAUAGUUAGAUGUUGACAACAAUCAAUUCAAUGAAACAUAACCUCAUUAAGCAUUAUCAAUCAAAUCAAUCAAACAAGAACGAAUAUCAAACAACAACAAAUUAAGACAAAGAUUCCAUUGCCUAUGCAUUAUCAUCAAAAUCAAAGCAAGCAAAACAAUUUCAAAACAACAACUAAUGUCAUCUAAACACGCAAGUGUUACACAAGAGUGCCCUAAAAAUACAUCAACAUUGACACAUAAUUAUUAUCACACUAAUUUUUUAUGUGCGAUUGUUUUCAAUGCUGUUAAAUAUAGUUUUUCUAUAUGAAAAUUCAAACAAUGGAUAUUUCACGGCGAUAUAGAUAACAAAAAACAAAAACAGGAAUCGAAUGUUUAACUUUUCAGUAAUACAUUUGGGAAAGAGAUACAGUGAGAUAGAGAGUAUUACGAUAGCGCAAUGGCUAUGAAGGAGAGCAAGAUGAAGGUAACGGAAGGUGGAGUUGAAUCGGUGUGGCGAGCUCGUGUUGGAACGCUGCGAAUCCAUGGCGGUGCAACUUUCUUGGCUGUUUGAUUCUGAGUUUGGGUUUGGUAUAUUUUGCUUUAUUGGUCAUCAUGCGGUUCUUCUAAAACACGUUCAAUGAUUGAAACCGAAAAAUUGGAAGUGUAUUCGGUUCGCUGUUAUGGUUUUCGCUGAUAGGGUUCAACGUUCGCAGGAGGAAAACAAAAGAACAGAGAACGAAAAUUGAAAUGGAGUCUGAAAUUUUAUUUUAAUUAGACCUUAGACAGCGCUUUGUGGAAAGCGGCUUUCUAAGUAUGCCUUUUAGACAGCGCUUUCCAAAAGCGCUUUCUAACCCCCCCUUAGACAGCGCUUUGGUUUUAAUUUUUUUUUAAUUUAAAGACUUUAGACAGCGCUUUAUCAAAAGCGCUGACUAAGGUCUAUAUUUAAAAGCGCUGUCUAAGGGGGGGUCUUAGACAGCGCUUUUAGAAAGCGCUGUCUAAGACCCCCCUUUAGACAACGCUUUCAUUAUUUUUUUGGAACAUUUUCCGUGUUUUAUUUUAAUUUUAACCUUAGACAACGCUUUCUUUUAAAAGCGUUGUCUAAGAUGCGCUGUUAAAAGUCAUUUUUGGCGUAGUGUUCCCAUUUUCUCGAACAAGGUAUAGGGCAUUAGAUUGACUGCAACACCCCGUCGACAAACACCUUAUUCACCGCCAUUCCAUCAACCUUAACUCUGAUGAACAAUGGUUUUAGGUGGUACAUCAUCCCAGGACUAGGCCUUUCAAACAUAGCUUUAUGUUCUUCCACCACGCUGUUAUUCAUGACAUAGUAGCAUAAAGGUUUUCCUCCAUCUGUUUCGUCUGGUAUAAAGUCUCCCUUUAUUUCAGAAACUUUAAAUACCAUGUCAUAUUCAGCUGGUAGCACCGACACAAUGCCACAGUUUACGACGAAAUCAUCACCAUAUAUAUCAUCGUGGUUUUCGUCGUACAUGUCCUCGUCAAAUACCUCGUCAGACUGAGGGGAAUAUUCAGGCCCCCCCUUCUCUGGUUGGGGAGAAUACUCUGGUUCCUCCUCCUUCGAAUUGCCCUCGCUUCGUGGCUGUCUCUCGAUCUCUGACGAACAUUCCACAUUCUGAGUAGCUAUCACUGCCUCUUUUCCCGUCCAGUCGACGGUCAUGGCCACUGUCUGAUUGGCCAUCAUUUUUCCUGGUCCUUUUGCCUUUGACAUCUGUUCCUUUUGUUCAGUGGUCUUUGAAGUCUUCGACUGUGGAGUGGUAAUGACUUUCCGAGCUUUUUUGUUUUGCUGGUGGCGUCUCCACUGUGUCAUCGUCAUUUUAUUCUUUCCCUUGUAGUUAGGGGAGAUUGUGUAGCAUCUUUUCUUCUCUGGAGAUGUUGUCUCUUUCUCCAACACCCUCAAUUUGGCUUUUUGCCCCCUUUCUGAUUGACAGAUUCUAUCCAUUUCUCCUGUGGAACAUCAGUUGGAGGAAUGAAAGUCUUUGGUCGGGAACGCUUAAAUUGUCUUCUAUAAUCCUCGUUCCGUCGAGGUGCUCUAUGAAUGUCAAUCACAGAUCAUGGGACAUCAGGCUUUUCCUCUUUAACAACCUUGUUGUCGGCCUCUAGUCUUUCGACGGUUUUCUCGUCGAACACCGCGCUGCACUUUGGGCACAUCACAUCUUUUGACCCAUUUCCCUUGCACUUCUCCUGGAAGUAUGACAAGCUUUUUCCAGGCUAGGGACAGGGCGACUCGGGCCUCCUUUCGUCUUUGUUUCCGAAACACUCAGUAGUUUCGACCAUCAUCAUUUCAAAUGAUUCAACUAACGAGGUUGCUUUGGAAACCUCAAUGAGAACAUUAGUAGUCUCUACCAUUUUGCACUCUAGAGGCUCUGCAUACAAAUCUUCUUCCACCUUCAGAGGUUCAAAAUCCACCUGCAUUUUUGGCCUUUCGACAAACUGGAGCCUUCCUUCUUUCAGAGAUUUCUGCACCAAAUCCCUAAAAAGAACACAUUGGUGAGUUUUGUGACCAAGGAAAUUAUGAAAUUUAUAAAAUCCACCUUUCUUCUUUUGUUCUAGGGGAGGGUCUUUUAAACCCUGAGGGAUGAUAAUCUGACCAUCUUUUACUAAUAGAUCAAAGAUUCCGUCGCACUUAGACACAUCGAACGUAUAUGUCUUAGCUAUGUAUUUGUCUGUUCUCUCUCGUUCGACAAGGUUUUUUCCAUCCGAUGGCUUCAAAACCUUACACGCAUAUGGAGGUCCGGGCUUAAGUUUUGCCACAUUAACCUCACUCCUGUCGACUGUAUCUUCGUCAUCGGAAGAGACUCCUUCGACUAUGAUAUAGGACACUUUUUCCUUCUUAUGAUAUCGACCCGCCUUUGACUUCUCAUCUUUCAAGCAUUCGAUACGUCAAACCCUAUCAGCCAAUUGGGCCAUAUCCCUAAGAUAUUGAGUAUCCAUCCUUUUCCUUAUAGAAUAAUCUAGAUCCCCUGUCGCCAUCUCGAUUAGUUCGUGUUCAGGGACUUGAGUAAAGCACCAUGCCUUCAGUAGUCUAAACCUGUUCAGGUACUGAUCAAUUGAUUUAGUAACCUUUCGCUUAAUGUUAGCAAGUUCUUUGAGGUUGAUCUUUGAUUGUCCCAUGUAGAAUUGUUCAUGGAACAACCUCUCCAACUGUGUUCAUGUUUGGAUCGACUUUGGAGGAAGCAUCGUGAACCAUAUGAACGCGUUUUUUGUCAAAGAACUUGGGAAGUAUUUUAACUUCAAAUCUUCAUUUUUCGAUAUGUCUCCAGCCUCGGUCUGGUACCUGGCCACGUGCUCGACGGUGGAUUCUUCAGUAUCCCUAGCGAACUUAGUAAAUUAGGGACUUUCCAUCCCCUUGGCAAUUCUGUCUGUAAGACAAAAUCUGGUAGAGGAGAGGAGUACGUCGGCCGUUGGAUGCAAAGACUUGCUCCAUUUCACAGUAUGAUCCAUUCGAAGAUAGCCUCUAGGUUUUGUUCCCCUAUGGCUGCAUCGUGUCGAACUUGUCGAACCACCUGGUCUGGAUCCUGGUUACGGUUAACCAGUAUCACGGGGGCCUUUGUGCCACCCUUCGGAUGUGUUCGAAUUCCUGAUAUUCCUGUUCGACAGUGUCAUCUAUCAUCUUUUCUUGUCGAACUGGUGUUUCUGGUCGAGGAGGAGGUGUGGGAUUUCGACAAACUUAAGCCCUUGGAGCUCCCCAAAAAAUAUCCAAUCCUUAUCAUUUGGGUCUCCAACUAGUGGCAACUCUGCGUCGAAUCCUGGAUCAAUGGUCUCAAAAUAGUACCCAUUUGUUGAGUUAGCAUAUGUACCAUUUCAUGGUUGCUUUCGUCCAUCUGUUGUCUCAUAACGACAUCAGAGCUUGACGUAAAAGUUGGGACUGAUUGAGACGUCAAUCCGAAACCUGGGGGUCGACCAAAUGGGGUUGCCAAAUGUCCUAACCCCUAGUAAAAAGAGAAUGGCGAUGACGAGGUAUCAUUUUAAGUCGAACUGAGGUUAUGCAUAUUUGCCAUAAACUCCGUCGGCAUUCCCAACGUUCUGUUCAUGGUGCCCCUAUUUAAGGACAUUCUAACUGAGGAGGCGAAGGUUAAAAUCUUCAUGUCGACUCAGUAGAAUGGGCUUAAAUAAAAACAUAUAGAAACAAACUUUGGUCCCUAAGAGACCUCAUGAUGCAUAUGAUAUGAAUGUAAAAGUUAAUGCUCUAUGGGGAAAUAUUGCCACAAAGGAAAAAGAAGUCGGAGAGACCGAAAGUCCGCAGGAGUAAAAUGCAUUCCGUAAGGAAAACUCACUGGGGAGACCGAGACUCUGAGGGGAAAAAGAGGUUACACGUAGGCCAGGCUACGACUUAAAACUGCUGGGGGACUCGAGGGACUCCAUACAAACAUGGAAAAGACUUAGCCGAGGAACUACAACAUCUACAGGGGAUACGAGUAAGUCAGGAUAAAACUGAAGUACUUAAAUCAUGCAGGGAAAAUGAUUUCACUAAGGAAAUGCGCAUUCAAUUCAACUGGGGAGAAAUAAACUUCAACACAGGAGGAACAGAAAUCUAUUAUCUACUACCUGUUACUGGGUAAGGAGAUAAUAAAGAUCUGACAGAGAGGAUGCCCGUCAUCGGUUAGGAUGAAUAUAUCAAGGAUAGACUCAAGCAGGGGAGAGAAAGAUAUAUGUAACCGGUUAGGGUGAACAUAUCAAGGAUGUACUUCCUGGGGAAUCAGAUCCACUGGGGACUCCACUGCUGGGAAAGCUGGGGUACUUUUGCCGGGUAUUGGGCAAGAAGUAACAAACUGCAAACUAAGAAGAAUAUUACCAGUUACUGGGAAAUAGACUCUUAGGGGACUCAAAGCAUCUAUCUAGGUAAGAGCUGAAAGAAACGGUCAAUCAAGACUCAACCCAUUGAUGACAUAACCCAAGGGGAGUGAUUCCAUCCAGAUAAUUAACUGGGGAGGAAACUGAAAUAAUAAUCAUCCACGAGGAAACAAACUCAGUGGGGGAAAGGAGAAAGGUUAAAGUCUUUCUGCUUAAGGGGCUGACACUCUACAAUUGAAGGAGGACAGACACCAGAUUUUGUAUGGGGAUAGAGUACCGCCAUAACAAAGAAUAAUCUAAAACUCAGUGGGGGAAAGGAGAAAGGUUAAAGUCUUUCUGCUUAAGGGGCUGACACUCUACAAUUGAAGGAGGACAGACACCAGAUUUUGUAUGGGGAUAGAGUACCGCCAUAACAAAGAAUAAUCUUGAAUGAAUCAAUCAAAUAUGAUAAUGAAAAUCAUGAAAUUAUAUGAAUGUGUAUGUAUAUGUAUAUAUGAUGAUUAUGCUGACAACACGAUCACAAAGGAUACCGAGGCGUCGCAAAGAAUUUGAAUCAUCGGUACAAUCCUCGGUUAAUCCAUAAGAUAUGGAGAGAACUGCUGGAGAACAGAGAGAUCAUUAAUCCGAAAAGGCUCAACCCUAACUGGGGAAGAAGCAGAUCUGCUGAGGAAAGAAACCUCAAAUUUGUCGGGAAUUUUAGGUAAACACCAUAAAAAUGAGAGAUAACCCUACAGGGAAUGAUCACAAAAAAAAAGUUGCUCAGAAACCAGGAGGAAACUCUGACUAGGAGCAAGUCGGACGGCGAUUGGCGGGGAAGCCAAUGCGAUCUACUAGGGAAAUCAACCAUAUCUGCUGACGAUCAACCCUGCUGAGGAAACACAAACUCCGUUGGCGAAGGCAGAAACUCUGUCGGGGAAAAUAACACACCGUAGGGUAUCUGAAUCAACCAACUCAGCUGCAGAAAAAGAACGAAGCUUUUACUGGAGAGAACAAACAUUCCGCCGAGGAACUGAAUCAACACAAACGUCCAGGGAUACCCAAAGGGUUAAUUGCUUGGGGAACCUCUGAUGUUUCUCACUGAAGGACUUGCUAUCUCUUAAAAUGUUGUUGAUAUUCCUUUUAAUUGCUUUGAAAAAUUAUUGCUUUUAUAUAUUUUUAUGAAAAAGAGAUUUUAAUUAAAAAAUUUAAAUUUUCAAAAUGAUCAUAAUAAAAUUUAAAACUAUUGGCUGAAGUAAAUAAGAGUAGAAACAAUUGGACAAAAGCUCAACUUUAUUGGAUGGAAUAGUUGAGCUUUCGGGUUUUCAAUCCACCGAGACGCUCUUUUUUCCUAAGCCGCCCUUUCGGGUUUUCAACUUAGCGAGUUGUUCUGUUUUUAGGCGAAGUAUUUCUUGACUGCAUCUGCGUUCACAGGACGAGUGAACUCUUCACCAUCCAUAGUUGUAAGUAUCAAUGCACCGCCUGAAAAGGCUCUCUUAACAACAUAUGGGCUUUCAUAAUUAGGAGUCCAUUUUCCUCUAGAAUCUUGUUUGAAGGAUAAAAUCUUCUCGAGCACAAGGUCACCUUCUUUGAACACAUGAGGUUUGACCUUCUUAUCAAAAGCUUUCUUCAUCCUUUGCUGAUACAACUGACCAUGACACAUGGCAGUUAAUCUCUUCUCUUCAAUCAAAUUCAACUGCUCAAACCUGGUCUAACACCAUUCAACCUCAGUCAACUUGGCUUCCAUAAGCACACGCAAUGAAGGAAUCUCAACCUCUACGGGGAGCACUGCUUCCAUACCAUACACAAGAGAGAAAGGGGUUGCCCCUGUUGAAGUGCGAAUGGAUGUACGAUACCCAUGUAAAGAAAAUGGGAGCAUCUCAUGCCAAUCCUUAUAUGUGACAACCAUCUUCGGAAUAAUCUUCUUGACGUUCUUGUUCGCGGCUUCAAUAGCCCCAUUCAUCUUAGGUCUGUAGGAGAAGAGUUAUGAUGUGCAAUCUUGAAGUCUUUGCAAAGAACUUCCACCAUAUUGUUAUUCAAGUUCGAUCCAUUGUAAGUAAUGAUCUUACUUGGCACACCAUAACGACAUAUAAUUUGAUUCUUGAUAAACCUUACAACAACUUGCUUGGUUACAUUUGCAUACGACGCCGCUUCAACCCAUUUGGUGAAGUAGUCAAUUGCCACCAAAAUGAAACGAUGUCCAUUCGAAGCUUUGGGCUCAAUCAUCCCAAUCAUAUCAAUUUCCCACAUGGAGAAGGGCCAUGGGGACAAGGUAACAUUCAAUAGUGUCGGAGGAACAUGAAUCUUAUCAGCAUAAAUUUUACACUUGUGGCAUUUCUUCACAAAUUUGCAAUAGUCAGAUUCCAUUGUCAACCAAUAGUAAUCUGCUCUCAACAUCUUCUUCGCCAUUGCAUGUCCAUUGGAAUGAGUACCAAAGGAACCUUCAUGCAGUUCAGUCAUCGACAAGUUUGCUUCGUGUCUAUCCAUACAUCUGAGCAAAACCAUGUCGAAG
rnacentral:lncRNA from 1 species